UACAGAGGGUGCAAACGUUGCUCGGAAUUAUUGGGCGUAAAGCGCGCGUAGGCGGCUACUUAAGUCGGAUGUGAAAGCCCUUGGCUCAACUGAGGAAGUGCACCCGAAACUGAGUGGCUAGAGUACGAAAGAGGGUCGCGGAAUUCCCGGUGUAGAGGUGAAAUUCGUAGAUAUCGGGAGGAACACCGGUGGCGAAGGCGGCGACCUGGGUCGAUACUGACGCUGAGACGCGAAAGCGUGGGGAGCAAACAGG
rnacentral:rRNA from 1 species